rnacentral:sRNA from 1 species
AGCUGAAUAACUGUUCAUAUGGCUAUGC